UUUCGCAUACUGUUUGUUCAAAGACAACUUUAUCUAUCCAGAUCUGGGUCAUAGUUCUCAAGGGACUGAAGAGAAUGUGCCCCAAAUGCCUUUGUGAAAUUCACUCUCCUUUCCUGACAUUACACAUGACGUGACAUAGAAUCAGGACACCCUAAAUUGUUUUGCCCAGCUUUCUGCCCUGAGCGCCUCUUGGAUUCACCCUCCACGGACUUGGCAGCAAUGACUGGCUUGAAGUUUCUCAAAAUGAAAUAAUUCUGUUAU
rnacentral:lncRNA from 1 species